GUGGCGUUGGUUUGUGAGUGACGCGGGAGUGCCGGCGGGUUUGCGAGCAUUCCGGGUAGUGCUAUUUGGCCCAAACCUCACUCCUCCCUUCUUCGCAUCGUUAAUGUAAGUACCAUGUCACAGCUCAUCGCGGGACUGCGUGGGACAGCGCGGGAGCUUCUCUUCGGUGUCAAGGAAAGUGAAGACUUUUUCCUAGGCGUUAGGUUGAUAGGUUGCUAGGCUCCUAACCCUUCUUUCCUUACAGGUACACCUUAAUUGCUUUUGAGUACUUACAGAUAUAUCAGUCGAAGUUGCCGCAGAGCGGGUGCAAUGCGAGUUGUAUGGCAGUAAGCCAAGGAAAGGAGUGCUGCGGAGUCAUUCAUAAGAGAAUGUGCGAGUGAUGCAUUGAAUCUGAAUAGAGGUGGCGCGUGUCACAGUAGCUACUGACCAGCACGUUUUCCAGUAAUGACGAAGUUGAGUUGGAAGUACGAGAGGAAUGCUUAAGAAAGAGCAGGCGUAAUUGAUGUUCAGAUCAAAGAUAGCAAAUACAACAUUCUCCA